GCCUGCCCGAUGAUUCAUCCUAAGCUAACUAUAAUUAGCAAACCUGAAUUCAAUGGCCGCGGUAUUUCUGACCGUGAUAAUGUAGCGAAAUCAAUCGUCACUUAAUUGCUGACCUGUAUCAAAGGUAUUACGAAUGUUCCGCUGUCUCAAGAAAAACCCCUGUGAAAUUGAAGAGGCCGUGCAUAUGCGGCCUACCCCCCUGUAAGACGAAAAGACCCUAUUGAGCUUUACUACACCCUUUUCUCAAGCACACUAGAAAAGAGAUAACUUCUUAAUCUAGUUAAUAGGAAAGGAGGCUAGUUUCGUUGGGGCGACGACCUUUAAAAAAGUAACAAAGGUUAGCGAAGGUUAAUUAUCUUAAUGGUAAGCGCCUGACUGCCUGGCUAAUAUGCCUAUCASACACUAUUGUGAGCCAUAGUUUUCCAUUUUAAAUCAAAAUUUAAAAUGCCAUAAUAUAAAAGUUACCAUAGGGAUAACAGCGUAAUUUUGUCGAAGAGCUCAUAUCGAUGACAAAGAUUGCGACCUCGAUGUUGAAUUGNGGUAUCCUGGGGGUGCAGCCGNUCCC
rnacentral:rRNA from 1 species